rnacentral:lncRNA from 1 species
CUGAACCAAUUGAGCCAACUCCUGAGCCUAUUCCUAAACCCACUCCGAAGAAGAGAGGUGUUUUAUUUCUCAGUCCUAAAGAUAUGCAAGAGGCAAAGAAAUCAAUGACAGAAAAAGGUAUAAAAGCUGAAGAUGUUAAGAAUUUACCACCUAUUGAAGAAAUACAUGGUCUUAAUAUACCGUCUGUUGAAGAACCACAUUGUCUUGAUAACCCGACACAGGUAGUGAAGGUAAAUUCUCUCUAUAGAUAUGAUAAAGUUGAAGUUCCCUCUACUAAAUUUCAUAGCCCAUGCUUAGAUGAAUUUGAUGACUUUAUGGCUAGACAAGAAAGUUUUAAUGCUUAUGUUGGUAGAGAGUUAAACAAUAAUGCUUUCAAGAUAGAACACUUGGGUGAUUAUAUGGCUAGAGUUAAAGGUGAACUUAAACUAGCAAAUAUGCUUCUAUGGUUGCUACUCAAGCUGAGCAAGUACUUAAAGCUCAAAAUGAUUUGCUUGAUGAAUUAAAUAAUAAACCUGACUUUGCUGUUAGAGUGGCUACUAGAACUGGUAGAAUGACUCAGGAACCUUUGUAUCCUGAAGGCCACCCUAAGAGAAUCGAGCAAGAUUCUCAGAGAAACAAUUUAGAGGUACCUAGUUCUUCUAAAAAGAAGAAGGAGAAAAACGAUAGGACUUUGCAUGCUUCUAGUGAACCUGCUGUAGACACACCUGAGAAUCCCAAUAAUAUUUCUAUCUCUGAUGCUGAAACACAAUCAGGUGAUGAACAUGAACCUCGUGAUAAUGUUAAUGAUAAUGUUCAUGUUGAUGCUCAACCUAGCAAAAACAAUGAUGUAGAGAUUGAACCUGCUGUUGAUCUUGAUAAGCCACAAUCAAAGAAUCAGCGUUAUGAUAAGAGAGAUUUUGUUGCUAGGAAGCACGGUAGAGAAAGAGAAUCAUGGGUGCAGAAACCCAUGCCCUUUCCUCCUAAACCAUCCAAGACAAAGGAUGAUGAGGACUUUGAGCGCUUUGCUGAAAUGAUUAGACAUAUCUUCUUAUGUAUGCGCUUAACUAAUAUGCUUAAAGUGAAUCCUUAUGCAAAAUAUAUGAAGGAUAUCAUUACAAAUAAAAGAAAGAUACCGGAAGCUGAAAUUUCCACCAUGCUUGCUAAUUACACUUUUAGGGAUGGAAUACCAAAGAAACUUGGAGAUCCAGGGGUACCAACUAUACCAUGCUCCAUUAAAAGAAACUAUGUUAGAACUUCUUUAUGUGAUCUUGGAGCCGGUGUUAGUGUUAUGCCUCUGUCUUUAUAUCGUAGACUUGAAUUGAAUAAGUUGACACCUACUGAAAUGUCUUUGCAAAUGGCUGAUAAAUCAACCGAUAUACCUGUCGGUAUUUGUGAGGAUGUGCCUGUUGUGGUUGCAAAUGUCACUAUUUUAAUGGACUUUGUUAUUCUUUAUAUUCCCGAGGACGAUAGUAUGUCGAUUAUCCUUGGUAGACCCUUUUUGAAUAUUGCAGAGGUUGUUAUUGAUUGCAGCAAAGACAAUGUCACCUUUCAUGUUAAUGGUAAUGAGCAUACGGUACACUUCCGAGGAAACAACCUCAAGUUCAUAGCAUCAAUUCUAUUGAAAAAGUUUCAACUAUCAUUAUUGGAGGUUUUGAAUUUCCUCUCCCUACUGUCAAGAAAAAGUAUGAUAUUCUUAUUAUUGGGGAUGUUCAUAUCCCCGUUGACGUAACUUAGUGUUAUUCGAAAUUUCUCCGGUUUCGUGUUAUUCGGAAUGAUUUUGUUAACAAGACUUGAUCAACCUUACUAGUGGAUUCAUUUUGAUGAGCAUGAGAUGGAUGAAACUAGAAGGCACAACCUUCUGCACCCUCUUUUUACUUUCUGUUAUUUAGAAUAAAUAAAGAAAAAAUAGUAUUAUCUGUCUGUUUUUUGAAUUGUCCGUGCAAUAAAAAAUAUUCCGAAAAUAAAAGUGCUCCAAAUGCCCUGCAAAUUCAGUGUGAUUUUUUAUGGAAUAUUUGAGUAUUUUAGGCACUGAAAUCAUUCCAGGAGGGGCAAGCACCAGGCCACGAGAGUGGAGGGCGCGCCCACCUUCCCUGGGCACGCCCCCCUGUCUCGUGGGCCCCUGGUGGCCCCCUCCACUUAUGCCAGCACCCACACACUCCAUCUUCUUCCCAAAAAAAUCUCCAUCCAGCUCAAGCACGAGUUCUAGCUCAUUUUGCUGCGAUUUUCGAUCUCCUUGCUCAAAGCUCCAUUCACAAAACUGCUUUGGGAGAUUGUUGCUUGGUAUGUGACUCCUCCAUUGGUCCAAUUAGUUUUUGUUCUAGUGAUUUAUUCAUUGCAAAAAAAUUCUGCAUAGGUGACCAUGUUCUUGAUUUUGCAUGUUAAACUUAUAAGGUCCCAAGUAAUUCUAAUGCAUGAUAUAGGCUCUAGACACUUGUAGGAGUAGUUGCUAUCAAUCUUGUUUAGUUUCAUUCACUUUUAUUUUGAAGUUACUAAAAUUUCAGAAAUUUUCAGAAAAUGUUAAGGAGACUUUUGAGGGGCUCUUCUAGCCAAGGCUCCCAGGAAAAACAAGCUAAAGAGAAGGAAAAAGCCAAGUAUAAUCUUCCUCGCAUAGCGGAAGUACGGCCGUGUGAAUGGCCAUGCGAUAAUUUCUUGAAAGAAGCUGGAAUUCAUGAAGAUUUUUAUUCUUUGAUCGAGAAUGCAGGCCUCACCAAUUUCCUCCACGACCGGAUCGAUCAGUAUCUCUUACUCACCAAUACUUUCGUGCAAACCUUUUAUUAUUAUCCUAAGAAGUCACCACCUUCAGUAUCAUUUCAUUUAUAUGAUGAAUCCAGGGAAAUGUCUUUACGUAAUUUUUGCGCGGUAUGUAGGAUACCCUUUGAGGGAAAAUUAGAGGAACCAUAUCGUAGAGAUGUGGAUGGCUUUGUUAACACUAUCACUAUAGGGGAUCCAAAGAAGGGUUCCGAUGCAAGAAUCUCUAGCAUACACUUUCAUGUUUUACGCUACUUUGCCAUAUUUGCUAGUAGAUGGUUGAUUGGUCGUGGAAAUAGUGGAAACUUUAAUGUUCCUGAUAUUAUCAUUCUUCACCAUGCCUUGUUUGGAGAUAAUAGUUUUAGUAUGGGUGAUGUCAUUGCUAAACGGCUAAGCCUAAAUCGUACAAAAGGCCCCAUCUUUGGAGGUAUCUAUGCUGCACGUCUUGCUAGACAUUUUGAGAUACCUAUUAGGCAUCAUGAGAAAGAGGAGACAAAAUUGCCUCCUUACAUUUUAGAUUACAAGAGCAUGAUAGCACAUGAGUUCAUAGUUGACAACAAAGAUAAGAUGCUCUUGUAUAACCUGAGAUUUAAUAAGAAACACAAUGAGACUAUUAUUUUGCCUGUGCCUUUGUUGUUUGAUUUGAUUGCAGAUAAUUUUCUUGUCACGCCGGAAGCGGUGUACGCUCAUCGAGGCCAAGCAUCCACUCCAGAACCUGAGCCUGAGCCGGAACCUGCACUGGACCCUUAUCGUGCAUCAUCUUACCAGUGGGACCCGGAGAUGGCCAGUUAGUGGUAUCCUGAUUACACCUCCCAGUACACCGAGGAGAGUAGCCGGGAUCUUUGGCAUUAGACCAACUUAGGCCAAAAGCCUAAGCUUGGGGGAGUACGUAUUUCUCACCGACUUUACAUUCAUGUUCACACACAAUUCUAGUUGUCGAUGCUCAUACUCUUUCAUUGUAUUAUCAUGCUAGUUUAAAUUUAUUUUUCUAGUUUUCUUCUUGUGUGUUUGAUAAACCUUAAGAAAAAACAAAAAAAAUAGUUAGUUUAAUUUCCAUGCUUGUGGUAGAAAUUAAAAUGAAAACCCAAAAAGAUUUCUCGUUCUUCUUCUUACUUGUUGGGAGCUUUCCCGUGUAAAUAGUUUUAUUUUCUUUUCUUUCCUUUGGGGGUCGAGAGUAGAAGACCAUAUUGAAAAUGUUUAGUGGCUCUCAUAUGCAUGAUUGUUUAUUUAAACUUAGAGCACAUAUUACCUUGUCUUCUCUCUUGAGUUGAAUGCUUGCAGAUUCCAACUUAGUCCAAUGCAUGUGCACUAUUAUUAUGCACAUCGUUUGGUUGUGCAAGUGAAAGGCAAUAACGACGAUAUAUGAUGGACUAAUUGAGAUGGGAGAAACUGGUAUGAACUCGACCUCUCUUGUUUUUGUAAAUAUGACGAGCUCAUCGUUCCUGAUUCAGCUUAUUAUGAGGUAAACAUAUUUGCAAUGACAUUUAGAGAUUAUAGUUGCUUGUGCCAUGCUUGAUUAGCUAUGAGUUAUAAUGGUUUACCUUGCGUGCCAACAUGCUAUUAGAAUAAUUAUGAUGUGGUAUGAUGGGAUGGUAUCCUUCUUUGAAUGAAUUGAGUGACUCGACUUGGCACAUGUUCAUGUAUGUAGUUGAAACAAAUCAACAUAGCCUUCAUGAUAUUUAUGUUCAUGGUAGAUUAUAUCCUACUCAUGCUUGUACUUGGUGUGAAUUAAUUUUAAUGCAUGUUCAUGACUGUUGUCGCUCUCUCAGUUGGUCGCUUCCCAGUCUUUUGCUAGCCUUCACCUGUACUAAGCGGAAAUACUGCUUGUGCAUCCAAACUCCAUAAACCCCAAAGUUGUUCAAUAUGAGUCCACCAUACCUUUCUAUAUGCGGUAUUUACCUGCCGUUCCAAGUAAAUUUGUAUGUGCCAAACUCCAAACCUUCAAAUAAAAUUCUAUUUUGUAUACUCGAACAGCUCAUGUUUCAACUAGGGCUGUCUAUAUCUUCCAUGCUAGGUGGGUUAUUCUCAAGAGGAGUGGACUCCGCUCCUCAUUCAUGAGAAAGGGCCGGUAACCGGGAUGCCCAGUCCCAUGAUCCAAAAAGAUCAAAGCAAAUCAAAAUAAUUAAACAAAACUCCCCCAGGGCUGUUGUUAGUUGGAGGCACUCGUUGUUUCGAGCAAGCCAUGGAUUGAUGCUUGUUGGUGGUGGGGGAGUAUAAACUUUUACUGUUUAGGAACUGCCUAUAAUGCAUGUAGUAUGGAAGAUACAGCCAUCUCAUAGUUGCUGCGUUGACAGUGAAAGUAUACCGCUCAAAAUGUUAUUCAAUCUCUAUUUUAAAGUCAAGCUUUGGCACCUCUACAAAUCCUUGCUUCCCUCUGCGAAGGGCCUAUCUAUUUACUUUUAUGUUGAGUCAUCACCUUCUUAUUAAAAAGCACCCGCUAGAAAGCACACUGUCAUUUGCAUUCAUUACUAUUGGUUUAUAUUGGGUAUGACUUGACUGGAUCUCUUUUACCAUGAAUUACAAUGUUUAGUCAGUCCUUGAUCUUUAAAGGUGCUCUGCAUUUAUGUUUUGCGGUCUCAGAAAGGGCUAGCGAGAUACCGUUAUAUCAUGUUAUGAUUGUUUUAAGAAAGUGUUGUCAUCCAAGUUUUAUUAUUAUGGCUCGCUAGCUAAUUAUGCUAUUGAUAUGAGUAAUUGUGAGACCUAGGUGUUAUUGUGAGUAUGGUUAGUUCGUAAUAUUUGCUGAAACCUGAACGCUCGAUUUGCAUGUUUACAACAACAAAAGCAAACAGAGUUUGUAAAAGUUUUUCUUUAUCACUUUCAGUUUAUCAACUGAAUUGCUUGAGGACAAACAAAGGUUUAAGUUUGGGGGAGUUGAUACGUCUCCAACGUAUCUACUUUUCUAAACACUUUUGUCCUUGUUUUGGACUCUAACUUGCAUGAUUUGAAUGAAACUAACCCGGACUGACGUUGUUUUCAGUAGAACUGCCAUGAUGUUGUUUUAUGUGUAGAAAACAAAGUUCUCAGAAUGACCUGAAAAUACAAGGAGGCACGUUUUAGAAAAUAUAAAAAAUACUGGCAAAAGAAUUAAGACCAGGGGACCCACACCCUAUCCACGAAGGUGGGGGGCGCGCCCACCCACCUGGGCGCGCCCCCUGUCUUGUGGGCCCCCUGAGGCUCCACCGACCUCAACUCCAACUCCAUAUAUUUCGUUUCGCGGAUAAAAAAAUCAAAGAGAAAGUUUCAUCGCGUUUUACGAUACGGAGCCGUCGUCAAACCCUAAUCUCUCUCGGGAGGGCUGAUCUGGAGUCCUUUAGGGGCUCCGAAGAGGGAGAUUCGUCGCCGUCGUCAUCAUCAACCAUCCUCCAUCACCAAUUUCAUGAUGCUCACCGUCGUGCGUGAGUAAUUCCAUCGUAGGCUUGCUGGACGAUGAUGGGUUGGAUGAGAUUUACCAUGUAAUCAAGUUAGUUUUGUUAGGGUUUGAUCCCUAGUAUCCACUAUGUUCUGAGAUUGAUGUUGUUAUGAUUUUGCUAUGCUUAAUGCUUGUCACUAGGGUCCGAGUUCCAUGAUUUCAGAUCUGAACCUUUUAUGUUUUCAUGAAUAUGUGUGUGUUCUUGAUCUUAUCUUGCAAGUCUAUAGUCACCUAUUAUGUGUUAUGAUCCGAUAACUCUGAAAUAACAAUAAUCGGGAUACUUCUCGGUGAUGACCAUAGUUUGAGGAGUUCAUGUAUUCACUAUGUGCUAAUGCUUUGUUCCGGUUCUCUAUUAAAAAGAGGCCUUAAUAUCCCUUAGUUUCCACUAGGACCCCGCUGCCACGAAAGGGUAGGACAAAAGAUGGCAUGCAAGUUCUUUUCCAUAAGCACGUAUGACUAUUUACGAAAUACAUGCCUACAUUACAUUGAUGAAUUGGAUCUAGUUCUGUGUCACCCUAUGUUAUAGCUAUUACAUGAGGAAUCGCAUUUGACAUAAUUAUCCAUCACUGAUCCAAUGCCUACGAGCUUUUCACAUCUUGUGUUUCGCUUAUUUACUUUUCCGUUGCUAUUGUUACAAUCACUACAAAACCCAAAAAUAUUACUUUUGCUACGGUUACCUUUAUUAUCAUACUACUUUGCUACUAAAUACUUUGCUGUAGAUACUAAGUUAUGUAGGUGUGGUUGAAUUGACAACUCAACUGCUAAUACUCAAUAAUAUUCUUUGGCUCCCCUUGUGUCGAAUCAAUAAAUUUGGGUUGAAUACUUUACCCUCGAAAGCUGUUGCGAUCCCCUACACUUGUGGGUUAUCAAACUCCAAGUGUUCGUUACCAUAGGACAGGCUAUCGAUAGAUGUUUUUUCUCUGCAAGGGUGCACAAACUUACCCACCACGCUCGAUUAACUCCGGCCAGACACACUUUCCUGGGUCAUGCCCGGCCUCGGCCAAACAAUACGCCGCAACACGACCUAGGCUUAAUAGAGAGGUCAAGCACGCCGGACUAAACCUAUGCCCCCAGGGGUCAUGGGCCAUCUCCCCGGGAACUCCUGCACGUUGCGUGGGCGGACGGUGAGCAGACCUAGCUACCUCCUUCAAAAAGGCAGGUGCUUACGCAGUCCAACCCGGCGCGCGCCGCUCAGUCGCUGACGUCUAUUAAGCUUCGGCUGAUGUAUACGACGCAGAACGCCCAUACUAUGCCCACGUGAUGGUUAGUGCUAUCAGGCCAGAGGCCCCUUGGAUCAAAUGUCCAAAUCGUAGUGGAUUGGGAACGCGUGGUAACAAGCAGAGACUCACGAAAGAUGUGACCCCAUUGGCCCGUCUCGAGGACUUGCGGCAAGGGGUAGAAAUGCCCGGCCAUGCCUCGUAAUUAUCUCACGGGCACCCUCCAGGUCAACCCGUCUCCACAUCACUCGUGGGUACCCCUCAGAGUCGACCCGCCUUUCCAAGUAACAGUUAUAAAGUCCAAGUAUCCAUGUGUCCAAACAUCAAGGGGAAAACCCGAGGAAUCACCCCCGGUGAAUUCCACUCGAUGUAAUCAUCAAGGUGAACGUAAGAGGGACCACCCUCGAGGUUCACACUUGAGGGGUUGCACGACAGAGUCGUGUCGAAAGUGGUUAAGGAGGAAAUCACCCUCGAUGACCAUGACCGAAUAGCUACACUACAGAGACCUCAUUAGGAGUGAUGUAUGUGGUUUCACCCUCGGCACUCGAUGGUAACUCUGCAGAGUCGAGCAACAAAAGGGGCGUGAUGUGAUGUGAGGUGUCGGGCUCUGGUCUUCGAUCCCGAUGAUCGGGUCUUCGAUGAUGAAGCAAGGGCAACAAGGACAAGGUGGGGGUCACUGAUGGAUCACUAACCAACCUAUACUAAGCAGUUUAGGAUAAGCAGGUAAGGUACAAUGAGCAUGUUACAAAAGCAGGCUAUGCAUCAGAAUAGGAGCAAACAAUAACAGUAGCAAAAUCUAAUGCAAACAUGAGAGAAUGGAAUGGGCGAUAUCGGGAUGAUAAAAGGGGGGCUUGCCUGGUUGCUCUGGCAAGGAGGGGUCGUCAUCGACGUAGUUGAUUACAGGGGCAGCAUCUGUCUCGGGGUCUACCGGAAAGAAUAGGGGGAAGAAACAAUAAAUAUAAAGCAAACCAAGCAUCAUAAAGCAUAACAUGAUAAUACGCGGUGUUAGGGGUGAACUAACGCAGUGCUAGACGUUGCAGACGAAGAGGGAAAACAUCCGAGGAUGAUUCCGCAACGGCAAACGGAUUCCAGACAAAAGAAAGAGAGGGGACGGUUCUAUGUUCAGCAUGCUAGGGGCAUGUGACAGAUGAACGGACCGCGUAUUCGGAUUCGUUGGAUUUUUCUAAGCAACUUUCAUGUAGAAAUUAUUUUCAUCUGAAUUAUAGAUUAUUUUAUAUGAUUUUUCAAUGUUUAAUUGAUUUUCUAAUAUUCUCUAGAAUAUUUUAAAUUCGAAAAAUAAAUGGGAAAAAGGCUAUGGGUACACACCCGGUGUAUGGCAGGUAGGGCCAGUUGACUUGGUCAACGGACCAGUCAGCAUUGACUGAUCAAAGUGAACAGUGCAGGUGGGGCCUACUUGUCAUUUACUUAGCUAUUUUUAAUCUAAUUUAGCAAUUUAAUCUAAUAGUUGGUCCCACAUGCCAUCUACUAUUAGACUAAUUAACUGCUACUACUAAUUAAACUAACUAGCAAGCACGGCCACACACGGCUGUGGCACAGCCAGCCACACACACACGACACACAUACGCACCUCGCCCAUGGCCAUGGCCAGCCUUAGCAGCGGUGGGCAACGACAGCGCAGCAGUAGUAGACAGCAGGUAGCAAGGAGCAACGGGGGCAAGCAGCAACACAACAAUAGCAGGCAGCGGCAACGACGACAAGCGACAGCAGUAGCACACCGCGGUGCAGCAAGCAGCAGCGGAUGGCAGUGAGCGCGCGCGCCGGAGAUGCUCGCGGGGCGCGGCCCAUGUGGUGUGUCUCGGGCACGGGCACAGCGAGGGACUGGUCCGGGGCGGCCAAGGCGCGGAGGGAGAGCAGCAGGCGUAGAGGAGCACGCGCGGGGAGCGGAGCUCCUGGCUCGGGCGCGACGAGCGCGGCCCGGAGCGAGGCAGGGCGAGGUCUGGCGUGGUGGGGCGGUCACGGGCGGGCCGGCUGUAGCGGCAGCAGGCAGCAGAGUAACAAGGCAGAGCAGGGGCAGCAGCAGAAACAUCGCAAGGAACAGCAGGAGCACGUACGCGAACGCAGAGAUGCAGCCAUGGCAGCCAUCGGCUCGUACAGGCGACUACGGCGACGGAUCGACGGGGCAAAACAGGGGAAUCGAGGGAGGAGCUCACAGUGAGCACGAAGGCGAGGUUGGGGAGGCCGGAGGAGGACCGGAGCGGCGGCAAUCGACGCUGGGCGUCGGCGAUGUACGUGUUGAAGACGAGGUCGAUGGCGAGUGUACGAGCCGUCCUUGCUCGAUUCAGUGCUCGGGGUAGAAGAAGUAUACCGCGACGGUUCUCCUGGACCUCUUGGCGCGACGAGGGGAGGGCGGUGGCCGCGACAUCGACGACGACAUGGGGACGGCGGCGCUCGGG